AACUUAUUUGCCAAUAUUUGCUUAAUCAGAUAUCUCUGUUUGCAGGAAGUUUGCUGUAUGGAUUACCAAUUUCAAAAAUUAAACGACACUAAAAUUCAGAUUAGUACAUUGUAUUGCUUUUGAACACUCCUCAUUGAAGAGGCUGCUGUUCAGGCUUCCUUGUGGUGCUGGUGAGUGAGCGAGUGCCACUCACUGGUAUUGCCUUGAAGAGGCUGCUGGACAGCAGACUUCGUCGCAUGCUAUUUUCUUUAGAACAUGCCAUGAAUCCAUACAAAUUGUGGGUGCAUUGCUUUUACAGUUGCAUCCAAGAAUUGAUGCCCGGAGAGCUGAUGAAAACCUUGGAAUGCUUCUUGUAGAAUUUUUUGAACUCUAUGGGAGAAAUUUUAAUUACUUGAAAACCGGUAUUAGAAUCAAAGAAGGAGGUGCCUAUAUCGCCAAAGAGGAGAUCAUGAAAGCCAUGACCAGCGGGUACAGACCGUCGAUGCUGUGCAUUGAGGACCCCCUGCUGCCAGGGAAUGACGUUGGCCGGAGCUCCUAUGGCGCCAUGCAGGUGAAGCAGGUCUUCGACUAUGCCUACAUAGUGCUCAGCCAUGCCGUGUCGCCGCUGGCCAGGUCCUAUCCAAACAGAGACGCCGAAAGUACUUUAGGAAGAAUCAUCAAAGUAACUCAGGAGGUGAUUGACUACCGGAGGUGGAUCAAAGAGAAGUGGGGCAGCAAAGCGCACCUGUCGCCGGGCAUGG
rnacentral:sRNA from 1 species